AAAAAAAAACUAAUUUAAACCCCCCAUCCAGGUUGACAUUUUGGACCUUGCCAGCCAUCCUGAAGUCCCUCUUUGUUCCUGAUUCCAUCAUCCACAUCGUCCCUCAGUGGUAACCAUUAUUUGACUGAGUUGCUGUGGAGCUCUCAGACAGAGAUAGCCAGAGACUGCUCCCAGUUUGGCCCAUCCUGGACCUUCAACAGCCUCCUCUGUUCCACAUUGGUGUCUCUUCUCACAUGCUUGUUGCAAGGUGGGGUAAGUGCUGACUUUCUCCUCUUUGUCCUGCUACUAGGGCCCAAGGCUGAUUG
rnacentral:lncRNA from 1 species